UACGAAGGGGGCUAGCGUUGUUCGGAAUUACUGGGCGUAAAGGGCUCGUAGGUGGCCAACUAAGUCAACCGUGAAAUCCCUCGGCUUAACCGGGGAACUGCGUUUGAUACUGGAUGGCUUGAGUUUGGGAGAGGGAUGCGGAAUUCCAGGUGUAGCGGUGAAAUGCGUAGAUAUCUGGAGGAACACCGGUGGCGAAGGCGGCAUCCUGGACCAAUACUGACACUGAGGAGCGAAAGCCAGGGGAGCAAACGGG
rnacentral:rRNA from 1 species